UUAGUUCCAUGCCGGUGAUAUUUUGAUCCAUAUGAUUUCGUUAAAACAUAAUAAAAUCCAUGAUCUGUGAGAUCUUAUGCAAGCAAUUCUAAAAUGGGCAUGGGUAAUCCAGAUGUUGAUUUGUUAUUUUCUGUGAAUCUUUGAACUGGAUUCUGUUACCGAACAGAGAUGUUUUCAUGGCUUGAAUAGGGGGUAUUUUCACAACCCAACCAAUUAAUUAGUUUCAAUCGGUCAGUGGAUCUAAUAAUUAUAGAUAUUUUUGGAAUAAAUUUAUUAAAAAGAUGAUCUGAAUACACCACGAGAUCUAUCGCAUAUGGUUGUGUUAUAAAUUGCAGACGUUGGGUGUGAGGUUCUUUUUUUUUUUUUUUUUUUUUUUUUUUUUUUUUUGGAC
rnacentral:lncRNA from 1 species